AGUGAACGCUGGCGGUAGGCCUAACACAUGCAAGUCGAACGGCAGCACAGGAGAGCUUGCUCUCUGGGUGGCGAGUGGCGGACGGGUGAGGAAUACAUCGGAAUCUACCUUUUCGUGGGGGAUAACGUAGGGAAACUUACGCUAAUACCGCAUACGACCUACGGGUGAAAGUGGGGGACCGCAAGGCCUCACGCGAUUAGAUGAGCCGAUGUCCGAUUGGCUAGUUGGCGGGGUAAUGGCCCACCAAGGCGACGAUCGGUAGCUGGUCUGAGAGGAUGAUCAGCCACACUGGAACUGAGACACGGUCCAGACUCCUACGGGAGGCAGCAGUGGGGAAUAUUGGACAAUGGGCGCAAGCCUGAUCCAGCCAUACCGCGUGGGUGAAGAAGGCCUUCGGGUUGUAAAGCCCUUUUGUUGGGAAAGAACUCCUGUCGAUUAAUACUCGGUGGGGAUGACGGUACCCAAAGAAUAAGCACCGGCUAACUUCGUGCCAGCAGCCGCAGUAAUAC
rnacentral:rRNA from 1 species